rnacentral:tRNA from 1 species
UGCCCCGAGUGAGGAUCGAACUCACGACCUUCAGAUAUCUCCGUGAGAUGGACUAUGAGACUGACGCGCUACCUACUGCGCUAUCGAGGC